rnacentral:rRNA from 1 species
UACAGAGGGUGCAAGCGUUAUUCGGAAUUACUGGGCGUAAAGCGCAUGUAGGCGGGAAAUCAAGUCAGGUGUGAAAUCCCGGAGCUCAACUCCGGAAUGGCAUUUGAAACUGAUUUUCUUGAGUAUGGUAGAGGGAGAUGGAAUUCCUGGUGUAGAGGUGAAAUUCGUAGAUAUCAGGAGGAACAUCGGAGGCGAAGGCGGUCUCCUGGACCAUAACUGACGCUGAGAUGCGAAAGCGUGGGUAGCAAACAGG